GACGAACGCUGGCGGCGUGCCUAAUACAUGCAAGUAGAACGCACAGUUUAUACCGUAGCUUGCUACACCAUAAACUGUGAGUUGCGAACGGGUGAGUAACGCGUAGGUAACCUGCCUGGUAGCGGGGGAUAACUAUUGGAAACGAUAGCUAAUACCGCAUAAUAUUAAUUAUUGCAUGAUAAUUGAUUGAAAGAUGCAAUUGCAUCACUACCAGAUGGACCUGCGUUGUAUUAGCUAGUAGGUGAGGUAACGGCUCACCUAGGCGACGAUACAUAGCCGACCAGAGAGGGUGAUCGGCCAAACUGGGACUGGGACACGGCCCAGACUCCUACGGGAGGCAGCAGGAGGGAAUCUUCGGCAAUGGACGAAAGGCUGAACGAGCAACGCCGCGUGAGUGAAGAAGGUUGUCGGGUCGUAAAGCUCUGUUGUAAGAGAAGAACGGGUGUGAGAGUGGAAAGUUCACACUGUGACGGUAUCUUACCAGAAAGGGACGGCUAACUACGUG
rnacentral:rRNA from 1 species